ACUCUCUUAAUGUGGCCCAUACUGUAAGUGUAGAUGGAAUCGGUCGACAGGCUGAGACUAGAGGUUGGAUCCACCUUGGUUAUGUACACCUGGAGUGAAAAAGGCAGAACCAUGUUAGAUAGAUUUAUUAUCUCGAACUACAAGUA